rnacentral:lncRNA from 1 species
GCGCAGGCAGCAGCUUCUCCAAGUUCCCUUCCUCUCCUAUUCCUCUUCUCCCGCGAAGCAGCGAGCUGCCGAUCGACCCCAAUCACCGUUGAUCUCUCUUCCCGACUUCUUCUUCCCCUCUCCUCCCGCCUUCUUCUUCCUCUCAAUCCUUCUCGCCUUCCUCUUCCUUCCUCUUCUUUGUCUCCCUCAUUUUUUUUCUCUUUUCUGGUAGGGACAAGUGUAGCAACAGAAACACCACCAGCGGCCGGCCAGUAGCUCCGACAACACCAGCGAAGCAGCUCCGAGAAGAGAGCUAUUGCGAGGACGAAAAUCCAGGCAGCAGCUCCAGCGCCUCCCGCCAGCAAGCAGUUCGCUCGCCCCCUCCCUUUUCCGGUGAAACAACGGACAGCAACUCCGGCUAUGGUCAGCAAUGGCACGAAAUUCGAACUUAGCGUUUGAGAAAUGGCGGAUCUGGACAGAUCCAUCUAGGUUUGUUCUAGUCAAUUAAUUGUUAUUCAUCUCUUAAUACUCUUAGUUGUUGGUCCUUGGCAUGCUCUUGACUUCUAUAUAAAUUGUACUUUUUAUGCAUCUACUUUAUGUGAGUAAAAAAAUGUUUUGAACUGCAUCGUAGAAGGAGCCAUAAUUUUUUUUUAUCUUAAGCAUGUUUCGUUGUAAGUUGUUGAUGCUUGAAUGUUCUUAUAUCUAUAUUAUCGGCUUCAUUGUAAUUUGGUGAUAUGCAGAAAGAAAUAAUAUGUUCUUGAUUUAGAAUUUUGAACCCCUGGUUUUAAAUUGAUUAAUUUCUUAAACAAAUAUGUUGCAAUUAUAUUUUACUUUUACUUGCUUACAUGGUAAUGGUAUAUAUUUUUUAAUUCCGAUUUUUGGAUCCUUUGAAAUAAGGAAAAUAAUAUUAAUUGACCCCCCUUCCCUUAUUUAAAAUUGACAGAUCUCUAUCUUGUUUUCAUAUAUGAAAAAAAUAUAAAUAAUUUCAAUUUUGGCUCUUUUUUAAUUCAAGGAAAGUAAUAUUGUCCUCUCUUAAUUUAUUCUUAUUUGUUUAUAUUUUGUAACAUAAUAUUUUAAAAUCUGAUUUUGGCUCUUUUUAUUUAAGGGGAAAUAUUAUACUUUUUGCUUACUUUUACUAGUUUAUUUUUUGUAAUGAAAUAAUUAGAAUAUUUUCUGAUUUUGGCUCUCCUUGAAAAUAAGGAAAUUGUGAUCUAAUUGACUCCUUAAUUUAUUCUAUUUCCCUUAUUAUGCUCCCCUCUUCUACUAUAUAAACUAGACCCCCUCCUCACAUUCACUUACUCAUUCACUCACAUUGACUCUCUAACAAGCUUUUCUCACUACUCUCACAUCUUGAGAAGAGCUCACAUUUUUCCAACUCACACUAAACUCAUUCAUUCUCUCUCUCAACACAAGAACUAGACUCCUCACUCUCUCAUUGCUCUCUUGCUACUCUUAAAAAAAUAAAUUAAGAUUCCGGUAAAAUAUUCAAGUGCUCUUCUUUGCUACUUUUCUGCUUUGCUUUUGUUCGAAUACAAGUUGGAUCAACUUGUUUUCAUUGCUACUAUUUCUUUUCUGCUUAAACGGUUAGUAUUCUUACUUAGCAUUUUACUAUUAGUCAGCCCUCUUUUAUUUUUUAUUUUUUGUUUUGCAUUUAUUAUUACUAUUGUGUAUUGGGAAUAAAAGGAAGCACUCAUUAUCUAUUUCCUCCUAUGUGUGUUGAUAUGUCUAUGCCUAUGUUUUGUCCUUUUUAUUUCUUAUAUGUGUUGUUUAAAUGAGAGUAAUUUGUUACUAUGAAUAUUUUACUUUACAAUCAGUAUUCCAUUGUAUACGUUUUUAUCUUACUUAUUCUAGUAGGUUUUGGACUUAAAGUUCAAGAUGAUGAAGAGUGGCCUAGAAGAAUUUUUGGACAAAGCUUUAUUUAUCUUAUAUUGUGUAUAUUUUCAUCUGUUAUUUUUAAUACAAUAUGUGUGUAACUCUAAAGCAAAUCUUAUAUAUGAAGCAAUUUGGGGGGAUCACCUAGGGAGGGGAAAUUAUGUGUUAAUCUUUUCUUUUUUUUUUGCAAACUUGUUUGUGUUUAAAAGCAUG